UACGGAGGGGGCUAGCGUUGUCCGAAGUUACUGGGCGUAAAGCGCGCGUAGGCGGGUUGGUAAGUCCGCUGUGAAAGCUCGGAGCUUAACUCCGGAGGGUCGGUGGAUACUGCCAGUCUUGAAGGUGCUAGGGGGAGAUGGAAUUACCGGUGUAGCGGUGAAAUGCGUAGAUAUCGGUAGGAACACCAGUGGCGAAGGCGGUCUCCUGGGGCAUUCUUGACGCUGAGGCGCGAAAGCUGGGGGAGCAAACGGG
rnacentral:rRNA from 1 species